GACGAACGCUGGCGGCGUGCCUAAUACAUGCAAGUAGGACGCAGUUGCGAACGGGUGAGUAACGCGUAGGUAACUGCCUAUUAGAGGGGGAUAACUAUUGGAAACGAUAGCUAAUACCGCAUACUAGUAGAUGGACCUGCGUUGUAUUAGCUAGUAGGUAGGGUAAUGGCCUACCUAGGCGACGAUACAUAGCCGACCUGAGAGUGUGAACAGCCGAACUGGGACUGAGGCAAGGCCCAGACUCCGAAGGUAGGAAGCAGUAGAGAAUCUUCGGCAAUGGGGGGAACCCUGACCGAGCAACGGCGCGGGAGUGAAGAAGGUUUUCGGAUCGUAAAGCUCUGUUGUUAAGGAAGCGGUACUUAACCAGAAAGAGACGGCUAACUACGUGCCAGCAGCCGCGGUAAUUC
rnacentral:rRNA from 1 species